GACGAACGCUGGCGGCGUGCCUAAUACAUGCAAGUCGAGCGAAAAGAUGAGGAUCUUGCUCCGCUGUCGUUAGCGGAGGACGGGUGAGUAACACGUGGAUACCCUACCUAAAAGACUGGUAUAACUUCGGAAAACCGGAGCUAAUACGGUAUAAUAUAUUGAACCGCAGGGUUGAAUAGUGAAAUACGGCUUUGCUGUCACUUAUGGAUGGAUCCGCGCCUCUUUAGCGAGUUGGUAAGGUAACAGCUUACCACGGCAACGAUGCGUGUCCGAAGUAAGUGACUGAUAGCCCACCCGGGAACUGGGACGCGGUCCACACUCCUACGAGAGGCCGCAGUCGCGAACCUGCCGCAAGGGGCGAAAGCCUUACGGAGCAACCCCACGUGAGUUAUGAAGACCUUCGGAGCGUAAAACUCUUUUACUCGUUAAGAACAAAUUUGUAAGUAACCAAACACGGCGUGACGGUACCUGAUCAGAAAGCCCCGGCUAACUACGUG
rnacentral:rRNA from 1 species